rnacentral:rRNA from 1 species
AGAGUUUGAUCCUGGCUCAGGAUGAACGCUGGCGGCGUGCCUAAUACAUGCAAGUCGAGCGGUAAGGUCCCUUCGGGGAUACACGAGCGGCGGACGGCAGAGUAACGCGUAGGAACGUACCCCAAAGUGAGGGAUAACUGCUCGAAAGAGUAGCUAAUACCGCAUGUGGUCUUCAGAUUAAAGCUUUAUGCGCUUUGGGAACGGCCUGCGUCUGAUUAGCUUGUUGGUGAGGUAAUAGCUCACCAAGGCGAUGAUCGGUAGCUGGUCUGAGAGGAUGAUCAGCCUGACUGGAACUGAGACACGGUCCAGACUCCUACGGGAGGCAGCAGUAGGGAAUUUUCCACAAUGGGGGCAACCCUGAUGGAGCAACGCCGCGUGCAGGAUGAAGGCCUUCGGGUUGUAAACUGCUUUUGUGAGUGAAGACAUCCGACAGUAACUCACGAAUAAGGGUCGGCUAACUACGUGCCAGCAGCCGCGGUCAUACGUAGGACCCAAGCGUUAUCCGGAAUUACUGGGCGUAAAGAGUUGCGUAGGUGGCAGAGUAAGUAAGGAGUGAAAGCGUUCGGCUCAACCGAAUAACCAUUUCUUAAACUGCUCAGCUAGAGAAUGAGAGAGGUGAAUGGAAUUCCCAGUGUAGGAGUGAAAUCCGUAGAUAUUGGGAGGAACACCGAUGGCGUAGGCAGGCGACUGGUCCAUUUCUGACGCUCAGGCACGAAAGCGUGGGGAGCGAUCGGGAUUAGAUACCCCGGUAGUCCACGCCGUAAACGAUGGAUGCUAGCUGUGCGAGGUAUCGACCCCUUGCGUAGCAAAGCUAACGCGUUAAGCAUCCCGCCUGUGGAGUACGAGCGCAAGCUUAAAACAUAAAGGAAUUGACGGGGACCCGCACAAGCGGUGGAGCGUGUUGUUUAAUUCGAGGCAAAGCGAAGAACCUUACCCAGGUUUGACAUCCUGCGAAGGUUUGCGAAAGCAGACUGUGCCUUUUGGAACGCAGUGACAGGUGAUGCAUGGCCGUCGUCAGCUCGUGUCGUGAGAUGUUUGGUUAAGUCCAUCAACGAGCGCAACCCUUAUAGUUAGUUGAAUUUUUCUAGCUAGACUGCCUCGGUAACGGGGAGGAAGGAGGGGACGACGUCAGGUCCGUAUUUCCCUUACAUCUGGGGCUACAAACACGCUACAAUGGCCGGUACAAAGGGCAGCUAAGUCGCGAGACGGAGCAAAUCCCAUCAAAGCCGGUCCAAGUUCGGAUUGCAGGCUGAAACUCGCCUGCAUGAAGCUGGAAUCGCUAGUAACGGUAGGUCAGCACACUACCGUGAAUACGUUCCCGGGUCUUGUACACACCGCCCGUCAAGCCACGAAAGUCGUCAAUACCCAAAGUCCUACCUAGAGUAGGCCUAAGGUAGGGGUGAUGAUUGGGGUUAAGUCGUAACAAGGUAACCGUA